rnacentral:rRNA from 1 species
UAGAGUUUGAUCCUGGCUCAGAGCGAACGCUGGCGGCAGGCCUAAUACAUGCAAGUCGAGCGGCCCUUCGGGGCAGCGGCGGACGGGUGAGUAACGCGUGGGAACGUGCCCUUUGGUUCGGAACAACACAGGGAAACUUGUGCUAAUACCGAAUGUGCCCUUCGGGGGAAAGAUUUAUCGCCAUUGGAGCGGCCCGCGUUGGAUUAGGUAGUUGGUGGGGUAAAGGCCUACCAAGCCUACGAUCCAUAGCUGGUCUGAGAGGAUGAUCAGCCACACUGGGACUGAGACACGGCCCAGACUCCUACGGGAGGCAGCAGUAGGGAAUCUUGCGCAAUGGGCGAAAGCCUGACGCAGCCAUGCCGCGUGAAUGAUGAAGGUCUUAGGAUUGUAAAAUUCUUUCACCGGGGAAGAUAAUGACGGUACCCGGAGAAGAAGCCCCGGCUAACUUCGUGCCAGCAGCCGCGGUAAUACGAAGGGGGCUAGCGUUGCUCGGAAUUACUGGACGUAAAGGGCGCGUAGGCGGACAUUUAAGUCAGAGGUGAAAGCCCAGGGCUCAACCUUGGAAUUGCCUUUGAUACUGGAUGUCUUGAGUUCGGGAGAGGUGAGUGGAAUGCCGAGUGUAUAGGUGAAAUUCGUAGAUAUUCGGCGGAACACCAGUGGCGAAGGCGACUC